UGGGGAAUAUUGCACAAUGGGCGAAAGCCUGAUGCAGCGACGCCGCGUGAACGAAGAAGUAUUUCGGUAUGUAAAGUUCUAUCAGCAGGGAAGAUAAUGACGGUACCUGACUAAGAAGCACCGGCUAAAUACGUGCCAGCAGCCGCGGUAAUACGUAUGGUGCAAGCGUUAUCCGGAUUUACUGGGUGUAAAGGGAGCGCAGGCGGAGAGCCAAGUCAGCCGUCAAAUGUCCGGGCUUAACCCGGGCUCGCGGUUGAAACUGGUUCCCUUGGGUGUGCAAGAGGUAAGCGGAACUCGUGGUGUAGCGGUGAAAUGCAUAGAUAUCACGAAGAACUCCGAUUGCGAAGGCAGCUUACUGGGGCAUUACCGACGCUCAUGCUCGAAGGUGCGGGUAUCAAACAGGAUUAGAUACCCUGGUA
rnacentral:rRNA from 1 species